GAUGAACGCCAGCGGCAGGCUUAAUACAUGCAAGUCGUGGGGCAGCAGGUUUGUAGCAAUACAGAUGCUGGCGACCGGCAAACGGGUGCGGAACACGUACAGAACCUUCCUUUGAGCGGGGAAUAGCCCAGAGAAAUUUGGAUUAAUACCCCAUAGUAUAAUGAAGUGGCAUCACUUUAUUAUUAAAGAUUUAUCACUCGAAGAUGGCUGUGCGGCUGAUUAGGUAGUUGGCGGGUAAAGGCCCACCAAGCCUGCGAUCAGUAACUGGUGUGAGAGCACGACCAGUCACACGGGCACUGAGACACGGGCCCGACUCCUACGGGAGGCAGCAGUAAGGAAUAUUGGUCAAUGGAGGCAACUCUGAACCAGCCAUGCCGCGUGGAGGAUGAAGGUCCUCUGGAUUGUAAACUUCUUUAUAUGGACGAAAAAGGCUUUCUAAGUCGUCUGACGGUACCAUAUGAAUAAGCACCGGCUAACUCCGUGCCAGCA
rnacentral:rRNA from 1 species